rnacentral:rRNA from 1 species
AUUAAAGUUGCUGCGGUUAAAAAGCUCGUAGUUGGAUUACGAAGUGGUGUUUAAAUGUCAUUUUGGUUUGUUUUGUCUUUCGGGGCAUUCAGGUCAACUUGGCUUUUACUCACUGUUGUCAUUGUCUUUGCCCAAGGUAUAUGCCUUGUGUGCAUGGCAUUGACCUUCUAUUUUAUGGUAAUGUUGUAUCUUUCGGGGUACAUUCAUUCCAUAUAGUUUACUUUGAAAAAAUUAGGGUGUUUAAAGCAGGCGAAAAGGCUUCGGAAUAUAUUAGCAUGGGAUAAUAGAAUACGAUCUAGGUCGUAAUUUGUUGGUUUCUACGGCUUAGGUAAUGAUUGACAGGGAUAGUUGGGGUCGCUCGUAUUGAGUUGUCAGAGGUGAAAUUCUAGGAUUAACUCAAGACGAACUAAUGCGAAAGCAUUCGGCAAGGAUGUUUUCAUUAAUCAAGAACGAAAGUUGGGGGAUCGAAGAUGAUCAGAUACCGUCGUAGUCUCAACUUAAACUAUGUCGACCGAGGAUCCGGUAGCGUUACAUGGAUGACCUUCCGGGCACUCUGUGAGAAAUCAUAAGUAUUUGGAUUUCGGGGGGAGUAUGGUCGCAAGGCUGAAACUUAAAGGGAUUGACGGAAGGGCACCACCAGGAGUGGAAUCUGCGGCUUAAUUUGACUCAACACGGGAAAACUUACCAGGUCCGGACACAGUGAGGAUUGACAGAUUGAGAGCUCUUUCUUGAUUUUGUGGGUGGUGGUGCAUGGCCGUUUUUAGUUGGUGGAGUGAUUUGUCUGGUUAAUUCCGUUAACGAACGAGACCUUAACCUAUUAAAUAGCUGCGCGAACCCAGGUUCUUUAACCAUUCUCUCCUUCGGAGGGGCGUGGUAUCAUUAUUUUGCUUUUCACUUUCGGGUGGGAGGUAGGGUAGUGAUAGGGCCUGAGAUGAGUUGGUGAUUUGGCUUCUUAGAGGGACUACUUGCAUCCUUAGCAAGGGGAGGUUUGAGGCAAAAACAGGUCUGUGAUGCCCUUCGAUGUUCUGGGCUGCACGCGCGUUACACUGGCGCAUGCAAAGAGUUUAAAAUUCCUGUCCCGAUGGGGUUGGAAAUCUUUUUAAAGUGCGUCGUGAUGGGGAUAGAGCAUUGAAAUUAUUGCUCUUGAACGAGGAAUUCCUAGUAAUUGCAGGUCAUCAACCUGCAAUGAUUACGUCCCUGCCCUUUGUACACACCACCCGUCGCUCCUACCGAUGGUUGAACCGAUGAGGACUCGGGAUGAUCUUAUUAGAUCGGUCGGUCGAAAGAUCGAUAGACUAUUAGGUCAGAACUUGUUCAAAUCUUUUUAA